rnacentral:rRNA from 1 species
GUGCCAGCCGCCGCGGUAAUACCGGCAGCCCGAGUGAUGGCCGAUCUUAUUGGGCCUAAAGCGUCCGUAGCUGGGUCUGAAAGUCCAUCGGGAAAUCCACUCGCUCAACGAGUGGCCGUCCGGUGGAAACUCCACACCUUGGGACCGGAAGGCUCGAGGGGUACGUCCAGGGUAGGAGUGAAAUCCCGUAAUCCUGGACGGACCGCCGAUGGCGAAAGCACGUCGCGAGAACGGAUCCGACAGUGAGGGACGAAAGCUGGGAUCUCGAACCGGAUUAGAAACCCCAGUAGUCC